CCAAUAGCGUAUAUUAAAGUUGUUGCAGUUAAAAAGCUCGUAGUUGAAUUUCGGGGUUAGUAGGUUGGUCAUGCCUCUGGUAUGUACUGGUCUCACUGAUUCCUCCUUCCUUAUGAACCGUAAUGCCAUUAAUUUGGUGUUGCGGGGAAUUUGGACUGUUACUUUUAAAAAAUUAGAGUGUUUAAAGCAAGCUAACGCUUGAAUACAUUAGCAUGGAAUAAUGAAAUAGGACGUUCGAUCCUAUUUUGUUGGUUUCUAGGAUUGACGUAAUGAUUAAUAGGGAUAGUUGGGGGCAUUAGUAUUCAAUUGUCAGAGGUGAAAUUCUUGGAUUUAUUGAAGACUAACUACUGCGAAAGCAUUUGCCAAGGAUGUUUUCAUUAAUCAAGAACGAAAGUUAGGGGAUCGAAGACGAUCAGAUACCGUCGUAGUCUUAACCAUAAACUAUGCCGACUAGGGAUCGGAUGAUGUUAAUUUUUUAAUGACUCAUUCGGCGCCUUACG
rnacentral:rRNA from 1 species